CCGUAAUCGAUGAUUUGAAACGAUUCUCUAUGUACACUAAUUUCGUGUUGAUGUAUGCCAUUAAAUCUGUAUUUUGUGGGGAGAUAGUUUUUGUUUUAAAAUGGCUGAAAAAUAGUGGGUCUAUUAGUAUAUUUAGUUGUGAAUGUUCUGCAUAAAAGUGAUGUUUUAUAAUGAAGUUUGAUUUAAUAGUUAAUGGAAAUAUGAUGUACCUAUGAUGAUUAAUGUUAGAAUAAAUUUAUGUUUAUUAAUAUAUUUUAUUGAUUUGUUUAUCAUUAAAUAUAAAUAAAAAAAAAUAUAUUUGUUUUUUAUAGCAAAUUAUAUUAUAUAAUUUUUUUAUUAAUAUAUAUAUAUUUAACUUGUUUCUCAGCAAGUUAUUUUGUAAGUUUAUGGAUGUUUGUUUAUUAGCAAAUAUUAUUAUACAAUAAUUUUUUUUUAUUUAACUUGUUUCUUAGCAAGUUAUUUUAUGAAUUUAUGGAUUUUUUUGUAAAUAUUAUAAUAUAAUUUUAAUUAAAUUGUUUAACUUGUUUCUUAGCAAGUUAUUUUAUAAAUGUAUGGGUAUUUGUUUAUUAGCAAAUAUUAUAAUAUAAUUUUUAUUAAAUUAUUUGACUUGUUUCUUAGCAAGUUAUUUUAUAAAUGUAUGGGUAUUUGUUUAUUAGCAAAUAUUAUGAUAUAAUUUUUAUUAAAUUAUUUGACUUGUUUCUUAGCAAGUUAUUUUAUAAAUGUAUGGGUAUUUGUUUAUUAGCAAAUAUUAUGAUAUAAUUUUUAUUAAAUUAUUAAGCUUGUUUCUUAGCAAGUUAUUUUAUAAAGUUGUGGAUAUUUGUUUAUUAGCAAAUAUAUGGUUUUAUUAUGUUAUUAUUAUUUUUUGUUGGCUCAGUCAGUACAGUAUUAUAGUAUAGUAUAGUCAGGAUAGUAUUUUAAUUUAAUUGUAUUAAUAGUUAUAGUGUUUUUAUAGGUAUUGAUAAUUGUAAAAGAAAAACUCUCAGUUUAAAAAAAAAAAAAAAACUGAACUUGUGUUGGGCGCCACUUUGUAAUGAGUUAAAAAUAAAUAGGUAACGUUAUUGAAUAGAAAGGUAUUUCAAAUGUUAAUUUAUAUUAUAUAUUUUUAACUCAUCACUUUAUAAAGAAUAUUACGGGGGAUGGGUGCGAGAGUUUUACUUUCCAAAUAAAUAAAUGUUUUAAAAU